UACGAAGGUCCCGAGCGUUGUUCGGAAUCACUGGGCGUAAAGGGAGCGCAGGCGGCGUGGUAAGUCAGAUGUGAAAUCCCGGGGCUCAACCCCGGAACUGCAUCCGAUACUGCCGUGCUAGAGGAUUGGAGAGGUAGCUGGAAUUCUUGGUGUAGCAGUGAAAUGCGUGGAUAUCAAGAGGAACACUCGUGGCGAAAGCGAGCUACUGGACAACUCCUGACGCUGAGGCUCGAAGGCCAGGGUCGCGAAAGGG
rnacentral:rRNA from 1 species